UGGGGAAUUUUGGACAAUGGGCGAAAGCCUGAUCCAGCAAUGCCGCGUGUGUGAGGAAGGCCUUCGGGUUGUAAAGCACUUUUGUCCGGAAAGAAAUCCUCUGGGUUAAUACCUCGGGGGGAUGACGGUACCGGAAGAAUAAGCACCGGCUAACUACGUGCCAGCAGCCGCGGUAAUACGUAGGGUGCAAGCGUUAAUCGGAAUUACUGGGCGUAAAGCGUGCGCAGGCGGUUUUGUAAGACGGAUGUGAAAUCCCCGGGCUUAACCUGGGAACUGCAUUCGUGACUGCAAGGCUAGAGUAUGGCAGAGGGGGGUAGAAUUCCACGUGUAGCAGUGAAAUGCGUAGAGAUGUGGAGGAAUACCGAUGGCGAAGGCAGCCCCCUGGGCCAAUACUGACGCUCAUGCACGAAAGCGUGGGGAGCAAACAGGAUUAGAUACCCUGGUAGUCCACGCCCUAAACGAUGUCAACUAGUUGUUGGGGAUUCAUUUCCUAGUAACGUAGCUAACGCGUGAAGUUGACCGCCUGGGGAGUACGGUCGC
rnacentral:rRNA from 1 species